rnacentral:rRNA from 1 species
GAUGAACGCUGGCGGCGUGCCUAGUACAUGCAAGUCGAGCGAACUGACGAGAAGCUUGCUUCUCUGAUGUUAGCGGCGGACGGGUGAGUAACACGUGGAUAACCUACCUAUAAGACUGGGAUAACUUCGGGAAACCGGAGCUAAUACCGGAUAAUAUUUUGAACCGCAUGGUUCAAAAGUGAAAGACGGUCUUGCUGUCACUUAUAGAUGGAUCCGCGCUGCAUUAGCUAGUUGGUAAGGUAACGGCUUACCAAGGCAACGAUGCAUAGCCGACCUGAGAGGGUGAUCGGCCACACUGGAACUGAGACACGGUCCAGACUCCUACGGGAGGCAGCAGUAGGGAAUCUUCCGCAAUGGGCGAAAGCCUGACGGAGCAACGCCGCGUGAGUGAUGAAGGUCUUCGGAUCGUAAAACUCUGUUAUUAGGGAAGAACAUAUGUGUAAGUAACUGUGCACAUCUUGACGGUACCUAAUCAGAAAGCCACGGCUAACUACGUG